ensembl:lncRNA novel transcript
CCCUUCCCCCCACGCCUCCGCCCAACACACACGCACACACAGUCCAGCCUCCCACCGGACACCUAACCUCAGUCCCCCCUGCAGCGCCAGGAGGAAUAAGUCAGGAGCUUUGACAACAGUGGUUCUCAAACUCCAGUGUGCCCCAGAAUCAACUGGAUGGUUUAUUAACACUGAUUGCUGGGCCUCAUCCUCAGAGAUACUGAUUCUCUCCAAGUUAUACUCAGGAAGAGAAAAAAAUUAAAAGUUCCAGUAGGCCGAGAAGCCCAUGAUCCACCGUGUUGAAGGAAGAUUUGCUUCACCUCACCACCCCCCAACCCCCUCCCGCCCCCCCGCGGUAAUACUAAGCUGUUCACACGCUGUGAAGAAGACCCGAAGACUAGGUUGUCAACUGUUGGGGCCUACCUGCGCCAGACUUCUUCCUCAGUGGCCAGCUUUCUCACCCCCCGUUAGCCACCAGGGGGCCGCCUGCUUGGAACAAGUGGUGUAGACGCCACAGCUUUUCUCCAAACCAACCAAAACAUUCCGGGGCAGCUUUGGAGCAAAGCCCAGGAACUUCCCUGCAAAGGAGAACAGCUCUCCAACUACAGAAGCCUGCAAGUCCUAUGGUGCAGACUUAUUAAGAGUAGAGAAGAAAGCACGGACUUCUCACCGAGGACCAAAGGGAAAUGGGGUCUCUGGGGCCUGCAACUUUCUUAAAAGUGCAUCAGUGAAACCCUGCUUAUCCAGCGGGGUGGUUGUUAAUGCUGUCAGCAGGGGUGGGGGGCCUCUCACCCCUUUCCCUGGGACGCUCAGAAGAAGCGAGAAUAAAACAUACAUGUCACUGGCUGGAAAUCUAGAGAACCUUCCAAUAAAUAACCUAUACAUUGUCAGGCAGCUGAGGAUCCAUAUCGUCAUAACUCUAUUAUACUGCGUGUUACACGAAUAGAUGUGAAUAUUAAAUUAUGAUGUCGGAAUUAUUUUAA